GACGAACGCUGGCGGCGUGCUUAACACAUGCAAGUCGAACGGAAAGGCCCUGCUUUUGUGGGGUGCUCGAGUGGCGAACGGGUGAGUAACACGUGAGUAACCUGCCCUUGACUUUGGGAUAACUUCAGGAAACUGGGGCUAAUACCGGAUAGGAGCUCCUGCUGCAUGGUGGGGGUUGGAAAGUUUCGGCGGUUGGGGAUGGACUCGCGGCUUAUCAGCUUGUUGGUGGGGUAGUGGCUUACCAAGGCUUUGACGGGUAGGCGGCCUGAGAGGGUGACCGGCCACAUUGGGACUGAGAUAGGGCCCAGACUCCUACGGGGGGCAGCAGUGGGGAAUAUUGCACAAUGGGCGGAAGCCUGAUGCAGCAACGCCGCGUGCGGGAUGACGGCCUUCGGGUUGUAAACCGCUUUCGCCUGUGACGAAGCGUGAGUGACGGUAAUGGGUAAAGAAGCACCGGCUAACUACGUG
rnacentral:rRNA from 1 species